ACGAGUUUGAUCCUGGCUCAGGAUGAACGCUAGCGGCAGGCUUAAUACAUGCAAGUCAAGGGGGUAGCAAUACAACCGGCGCACGGGUGAGUAACACGUACACAACAUACCAUAUACUGAGGUAUAGCUUCGGGAAACUGAAGGUAAUCCCUCAUAGUAUUGUGAAAGGGCAUCCUUUUACAAUUAAAGUUUCGACGGUAUAUGAUUGGUGUGCGUUUGAUUAGCUAGUUGGUAGGGUAACGGCCUACCAAGGCAACGAUCAAUAGCUGGCGUGAGAGCGCGACCAGCCACACUGGAACUGAGACACGGUCCAGACUCCUACGGGAGGCAGCAGUAGGGAAUAUUGGACAAUGGGCGAAAGCCUGAUCCAGCCAUGCCGCGUGAUAGAUGAAGGCCCUCUGGGUUGUAAAUAUCUUUUAUCUGGGAAGAAACACUUCUAUUCUUAGAAGCUUGACAGUACCAGAGGAAUAAGCACCGGCUAACUCCGUG
rnacentral:rRNA from 1 species